AAUAAGAUCAUUUUUCAGUUUUUUGAUAUAGUGUUUUGACUCUUUGUCUUAUUUGAAAUUUUUUUACGAUUAAUAUUUUUAUUCUUACCGGGUGAUAAAACAUAAAUAGUACUUUAUGCGUGACUAAUUUUUUUAAGUUUUUGUACAAAUAUUUUAAAUAAGACGAAUAGUCAAACGUUGGAUAUGGAAAA
rnacentral:pre_miRNA from 1 species